UAGCACUGGAGGUCGAGUGUUGGAUGCUUUUCGGAGUUCUUUGUCACCGUCAACUGUGGAGGCCCUCGUUUGCACACAGAACUAGAUCAGUGAUACACCCCUUGGACUAGAUAGCAUUGGCAUUGACGAUGAGAGCUAUAGACUUGAAGAUGAUGUAAUUGUGAACCCCAGUAUAGUUGCUGAUGACUGAUGGAGUAUGGAUAAAGAUAAGUUGAUAUCAGAAUUAACUUAUUCCGUCCUUGGUAUUAAUGGUAAUUCAAAUGACCAACUACGAUGCUGCAAAUGAUGUUUCUUUUUUGGUUGAAUCAAAAUGUUUGUUCUUAUGGACUGUAUA